AGUUGUUAAAAUAUUUGUUUUGUAUUCCCUAUUUGCAUGCAUCUCAUUUUAGCUCUCCAUCCAGCAGCUGUUUGGAUAGCCUGCUAUUAUCCAUGCUCCUCACAUGUCCUCCCCAGUGAAGUUGGGUUGAGACAAGCACCACCUCGGUGUUGGUGAACUGACCACAUUCCAGGAAUUCAUUGUUGGGGAUGCUGUCUCGCCAUCUGAUGGCUGACUCUGCUCUGCAAUAUGGAAGCCCGGUGGGGUCUAAAGGUACCUUCAAAUAUAUCCUAAUUUUUACUAUCUCCCAGGUCAGCUCCUGACAUGUGAGUAAACUACUACUAACAUGAAGGUAAAGAAUUUUCAAAACUGCAUGAACUGUUUAAAACCACUGGAGUACUUUUUUCUUUUUUACAAGUCAGUAAAAUUCACAUAACACAGUGGUUACAUUCUGAGAAAAUGCUGUGUCUUAUGAAUCAUUGGUCCUCAGGGAAAUAGGGAAUUAGGUUCUCAUCAUUUGAACAGGAGACAGAACUUGAGAUCCCUGCUUCCUGGUGACUUAAUGAUGCUGACAAGGGUGACACACAGCCCAA